rnacentral:rRNA from 1 species
GGGCAAUGCCUCAGUAACGGCGAGUGAAGCGGCAAGAGCUCAAAUUUGAAAGCUGGCUCCUUCGGAGUCCGCAUUGUAAUUUGCAGAGGAUGCUUUGGGUGCGGCCCCCGUCUAAGUGCCCUGGAACGGGCCGUCAGAGAGGGUGAGAAUCCCGUCUUGGGCGGGGUGUCCGUGCCCGUGUAAAGCUCCUUCGACGAGUCGAGUUGUUUGGGAAUGCAGCUCUAAAUGGGUGGUAAAUUUCAUCUAAAGCUAAAUACUGGCCGGAGACCGAUAGCGCACAAGUAGAGUGAUCGAAAGAUGAAAAGCACUUUGAAAAGAGAGUUAAACAGCACGUGAAAUUGUUGAAAGGGAAGCGCUUGCGACCAGACUCGCCCGCGGGGUUCAGCCGGCAUUCGUGCCGGUGUACUUCCCCGUGGGCGGGCCAGCGUCGGUUUGGGCGGCCGGUCAAAGGCCCCUGGAAUGUAGUGCCCUCCGGGGCACCUUAUAGCCAGGGGUGCAAUGCGGCCAGCCUGGACCGAGGAACGCGCUUCGGCACGGACGCUGGCAUAAUGGUCGUAAACGACCCGUCUGAAAACCCGGGCACAAUGCCAGCGUCGUGCCGAAGCCGUUCCUCGUCCAGCUGGC